rnacentral:rRNA from 1 species
CCGGCGACCGGCGCACGGGUGAGUAACACGUAUGCAACCUGCCCGUCUCAGGGGGAUAAUCGUCGGAAACGGCGUCUAAUACCCCGUAUGAAGCUGGACGGCAUCGUCUGGUUUUGAAAGAAUAUCGGAGACGGAUGGGCAUGCGGCGCAUUAGCUAGUUGGCGGGGUAACGGCCCACCAAGGCGACGAUGCGUAGGGGUUCUGAGAGGAAGGUCCCCCACACUGGUACUGAGACACGGACCAGACUCCUACGGGAGGCAGCAG